CUACCCCCACCUCUCCCGCCGCCACCCCAUCGUCACAGCCCCCAGCCCCCACCUCCACCUCUCCAGCCGCCACCCCAUCAUCACCGCCCCCAGCCUCCACCCCUCCCUCUACAAGUCCUCCUUCACCUCCCACCACCACCCCGCCUUCUCCGACAGGCUCCCCCACCCCUCCUCCGCCGCCAGGGAGCUCGGCCACCUCUUUGAGCGUCGCUGGCUUGUUUUCGGGGAUUUUGUCGAUCGCCGUAGUGUUGUUGUACUAGAUUAACUCAGCGAUCUUUUUUCCUACCCUUUUUUACAGGGCUCUUAUGAUUCGUUAUUGUGAGUUGCUUUUCUGGAAUCGAGACACGUUCUUGUUGAUCGUCAUUGAUUUUAUACGAUAAAAUCCAUUUUUCCGUGAACUACGUACUAGACUAGCUAGACAACUGAAUGUGAACUCAGCUCAAUUUUAUCAAACCUUCUCGAAGUCAAAGUUGUCGACCGGCUGAUCUAAGUCGAUCCCUCAGGAAAAAUAAUUCAACGUUUGGCUUUGACCCGGCACUAUGAUUUUGAGCAAUCGAAUUGCCCAAUCACAGGUCGACAGAUGUGUUUAGCAAAGGACGAUCCAUUCGCACGUUCGACCAAACCCUCACCAAACUCUUGCAAGUGGUUGUGCCUAUCCUAUCGCUAUCUUUCGACCAAAAAAAUAAAAAAAAAAUAAUCCUGUCGCUAUUUGCCAACAAUGUCUUGACAAGUGGCUAAAAGAAGUCCAUGUGAUUUUACUUG
rnacentral:lncRNA from 1 species